rnacentral:rRNA from 1 species
UGCCAGACUCCUACGGGAGGCAGCAGUGGGGAAUAUUGCACAAUGGGGGAAACCCUGAUGCAGCGACGCCGCGUGAGUGAAGAAGUAAUUCGUUAUGUAAAGCUCUAUCAGCAGGGAAGAAAAUGACGGUACCUGAGUAAGAAGCCCCGGCUAACUACGUGCCAGCAGCCGCGGUAAUACGUAGGGAGCGAGCGUUGUCCGGAAUUACUGGGUGUAAAGGGAGCGUAGGCGGGGAUGCAAGUUGGGUGCCAAAACUACCGGCUCAACUGGUAGUCGCACUCAAAACUGCAGCUCUUGAGUGAAGUAGAGGCAGGCGGAAUUCCUAGUGUAGCGGUGAAAUGCGUAGAUAUUAGGAGGAACACCAGUGGCGAAGGCGGCCUGCUGGGCUUUUACUGACGCUGAGGCUCGAAAGUGUGGGGAGCAAACAGGAUUAGAUACCCGAGUA